AUUGGAGUUACCCAGAAGUAAAAACAUUAAAUGACUACAGAGAAAGUAAUAAGAUAUCCGGAAGGGACAAAUGAUUAUAUGCUCACAUGUAUGAAAUUAUAUCAGCUUGAAAUAAUGGUAUUUUUCAGAUGCUGAUUGUAUAAAUUGCCUCGAUAAUAGGAAGUCCACCUUACGGUUAAUAUUUAUGUAAUUAGAGAAGCAAUUUAUUAUUAUUAAUAAUAAAAGUUGAUUUUGUGGCAUGCUUUGAGGCCACUAAUCAAAUUUGUGACUGCAAAAUUUUUAUCUCAGGGCUUGGUGUA
rnacentral:lncRNA from 1 species